AGCGGCCGGAGGGUAAUCGCGGCGGAAGAACUCCUGUUCAUCUGCUGAGGAAAGUCCGAACUCCGUAGAGCAGGGUACUGGGUAACACCCAGGCGUCGAGAGGCGACGGAAAGUGCCACAGAAAAUAGACCGCUCCCGGCCCGGGCUGCUGGCCCGAGUCAAGGAGUAAGGGUGAAACGGUGGAGUAAGAGCCCACCAUCACGUACGGUGACGCGCGUGGAUGGCAAACCCUACUCGGAGCAAAACCAAAUAGGGGACGUCAUGGAAGUUGCUCGCUUCCGAUAAGUCCCGGGUAGGUUGCGUGAGGUACGGCGUGAGCCGUAUCCCAGAUGGAUGAUUGCCUCCCUGGAUUUCAGGGGACAGAAUUCGGCUUACACCCGGCCCUUCCUC
rnacentral:RNase_P_RNA from 1 species